rnacentral:rRNA from 1 species
CGGACGGGUGAGUAACACGUGGAUAACCUACCUAUAAGACUGGGAUAACUUCGGGAAACCGGAGCUAAUACCGGAUAAUAUAUUGAACCGCAUGGUUCAAUAGUGAAAGACGGUUUUGCUGUCACUUAUAGAUGGAUCCGCGCCGCAUUAGCUAGUUGGUAAGGUAACGGCUUACCAAGGCAACGAUGCGUAGCCGACCUGAGAGGGUGAUUGGCCACACUGGAACUGAGACACGGUCCAGACUCCUACGGGAGGCAGCAGCA